GCGUUUGUGGUUUAGUGGUAAAAUCCAUCGUUGCCAUUCGCUAUAUAGCUUCCAAGCUAGUAUAGCUUAUGUAUCGAUGGGCCCCGGGUUCGAUUCCCGGCGAACGCA
rnacentral:tRNA from 1 species